rnacentral:rRNA from 1 species
GAUGAACGCUGGCGGCGUGCCUAAUACAUGCAAGUCGAGCGAACAGACGAGGAGCUUGCUCCUCUGACGUUAGCGGCGGACGGGUGAGUAACACGUGGAUAACCUACCUAUAAGACUGGGAUAACUUCGGGAAACCGGAGCUAAUACCGGAUAAUAUAUUGAACCGCAUGGUUCAAUAGUGAAAGACGGUUUUGCUGUCACUUAUAGAUGGAUCCGCGCCGCAUUAGCUAGUUGGUAAGGUAACGGCUUACCAAGGCAACGAUGCGUAGCCGACCUGAGAGGGUGGUCGGCCACACUGGAACUGAGACACGGUCCAGACUCCUACGGGAGGCAGCAGUAGGGAAUCUUCCGCAAUGGGCGAAAGCUUGACGGAGCAACGCCGCGUGAGUGAUGACGGUCUUCGGAUCGUAAAACUCUGUUAUUGGGGAAAAACAAAUGUGUAAGUAACUAUGCACGUCUUGACGGUACCUAAUCAGAAAGCCACGGCUAACUACGUG